UACGUAGGGAGCAAGCGUUGUCCGGAAUCAUUGGGCGUAAAGCGCGCGUAGGUGGCUUCGUAAGUCCGUUGUGAAAGUCAAAGGCUCAACCUUUGAAAGCCGAUGGAUACUGUGAAGCUAGAGUACGGAAGAGGCGAGUGGAAUUCCUGGUGUAGCGGUGGAAUGCGCAGAUAUCGUAAGGAAGACCAGUGGCGAAGGCGGGUCUCUGGGCCGAUACUGACGCUGAGGAGCGAAAGCGUGGGGAGCGAACAGG
rnacentral:rRNA from 1 species